CUCGAAUCUAGGGUUUCAUCGCGUCCUCACCCCCAUUAAUUCCGCUGAUGCUCUCCGUCGAUCCUCAUCAAUGAGGAAUUUGCUAGAAGAUGCGGGGAUCCCCCUCGCCAUCUCGCCGGUCGGCGCCCCUCCGGCGGUCGACGGCGGCGAGUCCCACUCGUGGAUCGUCGGCUGCCACGGGCUCUGGUACAACCUUGCGCUGAUCAUCCCCACGGUGUUGUUCAUUGCUUACCUCGCCUCUCAGGCACGGAAGAGCUUCGCGAAGCUCACGUAUGGCCGAUCGUACAUCAUGAUUGCGUACUACGCGCUGCUGUGGAUCGUCUGUCUUCUUAAUCUCGCCUGGUGCGUUUUCCAGGCUUGGCAGUGUUUGCCUAGCAAGGAG
rnacentral:misc_RNA from 1 species